ACUUCAGAGGUUGCUUUUUCUGGCGAUUUUUUCUUCAAAGCCAGAAAAUUCAUCUCCAUCUACUUCCGACUUCGGAGUUUGCUUUUUCUGGCGAUUUUUCUUCAAAACUAGAAAAUUCAUCUCCAUCUUUUGGUAUGAUAGGCAGGCGCCAACAUCCUCCUGUUUGAUUGGUGCGUGAAAAGCGCAGAAAAUGAAGUCAGAGAAAUAGAUCGAGAAGUGGUACGAUCGAAAUGGAUGAUGUAGAAUCCGAGACUAUUGGAUGCCAAUUCGUUGAUUAUCUUGCGAUUCAAAUGCCUUAUUGUGCAAUCGAAAUGGCUGACGAAUAAUCUCAAGUUUCACCUUCCGAUCUAGGCCGGUGAUACUUCCUGAAGACUGGUGUAGUCUCGAGAUCAGACGAACUCCCGAUGAGAUCAAGUUGCCUGCAACAUUCUGAUGGUGAACUAUGAAUUAUUCCGAUGGGCCAUCCAUGAUUCAUCAACCGGAACAUCCGCCAAAAAGGAGAGAGAAAUAG